rnacentral:miRNA from 1 species
AGUUGAUCAUAUAAUUUU